UUUCAGAUACCAGUCUCAUGAAUUUCAUGGAAAGGGACCUGGCAAAAAUAAAGUGGGGAAGCGAAUGAAGAAAACUGAACAGGAGGGAGGCAGCCAUCUCAAAAACCAAACUGCAAAUUCUUCAUGAAAUAUGCUGGCACCAACUCUCAACUUUAGCGCGGACUUAUGUCUUUAUUGUUUCUUACUGUCUAGAAUAUCGUCUCUAUUUUUAAAUAAGACACAGCUUGCAGCUGCCGACAGUGCCUAUGUGUACUGGAAGGAAGACCACAGAGUUCAUGUCUCAUUCAGAUGAGUACAGUGGUUCUCCUGCUUCCUUAGGUGACCUGUUGGCACCUGUAAGCUGAAAAGUACAAUUUCUAGUGAUCAGUUGCUUGCUUAUAGGACUUGAGGCAGAUGAACAGCCUCUAAGCUAAAACAGACAUGAAGUAAUUAUAUUUGGUGAACAGAGUUCAUGGAGGUAGGCCUAGGCCCACUGGGGCUGUAGUGCCAAGAGAAAAAAGAAAAGAAAAAAAUAUAUUUGGCCUUUCCUGAUUGCAGUAGCAAUACUGUAUCCUUCCAAGGGAAGAAAGAAGCCCUUGUUGAGCUGUAGACCAGUAUGAAAGGCUGUAAAAUUAUACAAGCAACAGAAUCAGAAGAUGUACAGUCUACUGCAAAUCAUUGUAAAGCACCACUGAUAUAUCACUGAAACAUUUGUAAUGUGUUAUAAAAGUAACUUGGUUCAUCCUGGUCCGUUGCACUAGUAAAUGUAUAUAAGGUUUUUAACCACUGUCCAGUGUGAUUGAUAAAAGUCGUUUUUAAUUUUUUAUACUUUACAUGUUUUGGUCAACACGACCAUCUUCAGAAGGAUUAUUAUCAACACGUAUGGAAACUACUGUUUCAUGUUAUUACAGUUAGUCUGUUUACAAAAUAAUGUUCGGUAUUUGUUUUAAACUAGAACCAAUGUGGUUUCUUGUCCUUACACUUUUGUAAUAAUUUUAGAUGUUUUAACAAAUCGCUGCACAUCUUAAUAUUAGUUAAAUGAUAUAACAUAUAUCUGUGACAUAACAGUAGUUUCCGUACGUGUUGAUAAUAUCCUUCUGAAGACGGUCAUUUUGACUGAAACGACUUUUAUCAAUCGCACUGGACAGUGGUUACAAAUCUUACAUGUGGUUAUAAAAGUCCUGUGUUUAAUCCACAUGCAGAUGAUGAAGAGUCUUCUGUAGGUAUACAAAAACUCAAAAGACACAGAGACUCGGCCAAUAAUGUCAGGCCAUGAAACUGUGUAAAACUGAUCUUAAGGCAUCUUCUUGGAGGUGGUGAUAAUGAUUUGAACCCAAAAUGAAUAUAUCAGUCGAUGCUGAACAUUAUCUGAAGUCUGAAUUGUAAUCCUGAUGUGCUACUAAUCUUCACUUAAGAAGGUACACGAACAGACUACAGGUGUUCCCAAACUUGCAUUUUUCUUGAUAUCAGUAAUGCAUAACUGUAAGCUGACAACCUCAGUCACAUAUAUUCCAGCCACCUAAUUAUUUAAGACAGUUACAGUAUGUUUUAGUCUUUGUUAAUAGAAAUUAACUUGAAAUCACCUUAUUACAAAAGUUGUUACAUUUGUGUAUUUCCUCAUGAAAUAGAGAUUAUAAUUUAAAGCAUGUACACCUACUCCAUUAGGUGCAUGCAGAAUAUGUUGUUCAGUUAGUGCAGUUACUUGCAAGGUUGGAAUUAUGUGUGGAGUUGAAUUUAGUUUGUAACAUUCUCACUCAGAGCAGUCUGCUUGUGGUAAUUGAUGGUCAUUACUAUCCGUCCUUACCAUAGGUAAUUAAUUUUUCAGAAAAUGGUUUUCAAACAAAAGGUAUGACACACCUAUCAAUAGAAACUGAAGAUUUUGUUUAUUGGUCAGUAUCCUGUUGAGAAAGAUAACAAUAAAAUAGUUUUGCUUGGUGUAGUAUUUAAAUGUAUAUCAUCUUUAGGAAAAAUGAUAUAAAAAUGCUUAAAUUUCAUGAUAUGUUUGUAUGCACUCAAAGUUUCACUGUAAACUUGAGGUGGCCGUGUGCAGUUGGAGCCCAGGCAGGGCCACUGAAGUGUCAGGCCCGUAGCUUGAAAUGGUUGCAAUGGUAGACUUGCAAUUUCUUAUUAAUUUGUACAGAUUUCCUAACAGACUCACUACUUUGAUGAAGACUUGUUCAAACAACGCUCUGACAAAUUUAUUUCAUUAUGUAAUGUAAUUCAUCUGUACUGAUCACAGUUCAGUUUAAUCAGUACAGCACAAUUACUGUAUGGUUGUAGUGUGUCAAUAUUUCUUGUUCAUAUAAACAGAAGUACAGUCAGCUACAAGCACCAGUGUUACAUGCAAGAUUUCAGAUAUUCAUGGCAGUGAUCAUGAGGAAGUUGGAAGUGACGCUGUGUAGGUGGGUAGGAGUCCACCAACAUUUAGGAGGAACGUACUGCCACCUUCAUAAGGGUAGACUUCUACUACAUACAUUCUAUCACAUGCUAACAAAGCUUCUGAAAUGUAAUGCUCUGUAAUUUGUUUUAACCAACAUUGCAGACAAAUAUACGGGGGCAAAUCGAAAAGUCUUUGCCCCUAUUUUUUUUUCAGACACAAUAAUACACAUACAGGAUAAUCAAAAUACAGGCAGUGUUCUAAGUACCUUUGACUAUUUUUCCACAUAGUCACCACCCCGGUUCAGGCUUUUGUCCCAUCGCACCACUAGUUUGGAGAUGCCGCUGUUGUAGAAUUCUGCUGGUUGAGCGCAGAACUACUGCCGGACAGCAGUUUUUGUGUUGUAGGAAAUGAACCUCUGGCCUGCCAGAAACUUUUUCAGUGGACCGAACACAUGGUAAUCACUGCGGGCGAGGUCUGGGCUAUAUGAUGCAUGCUCCAUAAUCUCCCAUCCGAAUGACUGCAGUCGUUCGGUGGUCCUGUUUGCCACAUGAGGCCUGGUGUUGUCAUGGAGGAGAACCACAACAUCCAUGAAAAUCCCCAGGAGUGACUGCAGUCAUUCGAAUGGGAGAUUAUGGCGCCAGCACCGUGUAGUCCAUACCUCACCCCCAGUGAUUACCACGUGUUCGGUCCAUUGAAGAAGUUCCUGGCAGGCCAGAGGUUCAUUUCCGACGAAGUGAAAACUGCUCUCUGCUGGUGGUUCUGCUCUCAACCAACCGAAUUCUACAACAGCGGCAUCUCCAAACUAGUGGCAUGAUGGGACAAAUGCUUCAGCCGAGGUGGUGACUAUGUGGAAAAAUAGUCAAAGGUACUUAGAACACUGUCUGUAUUUUGAUUUCCCCGUAUGUGUAUUGUGGCUGAAAAGAAAAACUGGGGCAAAGACUUUUCGAUUUGCCUUCGUACUUCCUCAGUCUUCAGGAUGGAAAAUUGAAGCUGAAGGCAUUGUGUUCCUCUGAAAUGUCAUUAAACUUGUACCAACCUACACAGUAUCAUAUCCCAUAUCAUCAGCCAAAUGAAACUGCUGCUUGUGGAUGACCUGAUUUCAUAUUGUGACUUCAGACAUCUGUACCUAUGCAAUCUAAAUGUCUGAUAUCUGGAGUCAUCCUAAAGAUGGAGGCACACAUUCCACCAAAACGUUAGUAUCCACCUAUCAGACUGCAGCGUGGUGUGUUUCACCAGUACCCUGGUAUCCGCAUGCCAGACUACAACACAGUGUUACAGCACACAGCGUCCCCACCAAGGAACUUGAUGAUCAUACAGCUUUCCAGCUUUGUCAGGAAAGUUACCUCAAGGACUUGUAGCUGGGAUGGGGGAACACAAAUACUUUUCAUUUCCUUGCAUCCUGUUGUGUUAUUAUAUAUACAAUUCUUUAUUGGAGUCUGUCGUAACACAACUACAUAACGGUUGAGGUUAAAAUUACCUAGCUACAUGUUUCAGCUUUUUAAAACCAUCAUCAGGCAAAGCACAUGAUUACUAAUUCUGUCUGAAUAUAGUAAUCAUGUGUUUUGCCUGAUGAUGGCUUUAAAUAGCCGAAACAUGUAGCUGUGUAAUUUUAACCAUGACCGUUAUGUUGUUGUGAUAUGACGGACUCCAGUAAAUAAUUGAACACAAGUACGUACAAUAUUUAUGUUGGAACAUGCUGGAAAGAAUCCACUUGGCAAAACAAAAGUGAUGGAAGGAAGAUAUCAAACCAGAUCUUGACGAAACUGGGUAUAAGACUGUGGAUCAUGAUGUGUCCACUGGUGGGCUUUGGUAUUAGCAACAUUCAUCCUGCAAGGGUAUGCUGACAAGUAAUGUCUCCGUAAGACAGUGGUGAAAAUGUAGUUGUGUCCUGCCAGUCUUACAGAAGUACAGGUACUCCUUGGUAUAUGCAAGUUGGAAACAUGUUUCAUUUUAAUGCAGUCAGUUAAUUUAGACCUGUAACACUUGCUUUAGUAUGAAGUAAUUGCUGGCCCAUCAAGAGAGGUCAGAAGAAGGGGGGGAUUAGGAUGCUGUGCAGGUGUGGAGGAGGAAUGCACGGGGAGAAGAGAAAGUUCGGCCUACCUGAUAUCAUUUAUGUCAUUGCACCCCGUGACUCCUUUUGGGAAUACAACUAAUGCAUUAAUUGACGAAUACCUGUGCAAGAAAUAUGUAAGCUGUGGCUGGACUGCAGAAGUGGUUGUUUGAGGUAAUUGUAUAAAAUAGGGAACAAAGUUCAAGGAAGGUAGCCAUUUCUGUUUCAAUGAAAUUGCUGUUAUGGAAAAGAAAUUGGGAGUCAUUACUUUCAGCAUGUCCUUGUACAAGCUCUGUCACCAGGAGGAGACAUAUACACUUCCCAAUGAAAUAUCCCACAUUGUGAUUGGAAUCCAUAUUUAAAUAUUUGUUGCUUAACCUUCAGUGGCGUCCUGCGUACAGAGGACACUUGCCAUUGUAUCACAUCACUGCCUGGAACACAGAAUUCCUAUGGCAGCCAUAACUUGUCUCUUAACAGUAAUAUUAUAUUAAAAGUGCCAGUUUUUUAUAACAGUUCAGAAAAAAAUGCUGUAAGCUCUCUAUUAAUGUAUGGCUAGUCAAUUUCCUGUGGCAUGUAACAAAUACUGUGUACAUCAGAAAUAAAAAUGCCCUACUUUACCUUUUUAA